rnacentral:rRNA from 1 species
GUGGGGAAUAUUGGACAAUGGGCGAAAGCCUGAUCCAGCCAUGCCGCGUGUGUGAAGAAGGUCUUCGGAUUGUAAAGCACUUUAAGUUGGGAGGAAGGGCAGUAAGUUAAUACCUUGCUGUUUUGACGUUACCGACAGAAUAAGCACCGGCUAACUUCGUGCCAGCAGCCGCGGUAAUACGAAGGGUGCAAGCGUUAAUCGGAAUUACUGGGCGUAAAGCGCGCGUAGGUGGUUUUGUAAGUUGGAGGUGAGAUCCCCGGGCUCAACCUGGGAACUGCCUCCAAAACUGCAUGACUAGAGUACGGUAGAGGGUAGUGGAAUUUCCUGUGUAGCGGUGAAAUGCGUAGAUAUAGGAAGGAACACCAGUGGCGAAGGCGACUACCUGGACUGAUACUGACACUGAGGUGCGAAAGCGUGGGGAGCAAACAGGAUUAGAUACCCGUGUAGUCC